UGGGCCACAUGCCCAGUCCAGAGUAAAUUUUUAUGUUACAACAAAAGCAAAGAAUAAAACAGUGUAUAUUCUAGACUAUUUUUAUGUAAGAAAGGAGAAAAAAGAAUACAUUUAUAUUUGCAUAAAGAAAUGCUAGGAGGAAUACAUGAAUACAAAUAUACAUGAAUACAAACGUUAAACUACAGGAACUAGAGAGAAAACGGAAAGGCAAAAACAGGAAUGAGACUUCUAUGUCUUUUCUUAAACAUAUUUUUAUAUUUGAAUCAAAGUAUGAAAGUGAAUAAAAAUAGAAUAUUUUCUUAGAACUUGGUGCCAAGUUUUAGAGCAAAGAUAUCUGAAUAAACUUCAGCAAAGUAACAUGGUUUAGAUUACUACACAGGGAAAUUGCCAGUAGUUUACAGCUGAUUUGCCAACUUUUUAUUAGGGUAUUUUAUUUUUUAGUGAAACUUGAGAACUCAAAAAAUCUUGAUGAAAUUCCUUACAUCAGACACUGAGAACACAGAACAGAAGUUCUUGCUCUCAAAGAGUUCAAAUCAGGGAGACAAAACCAUAAACAUGAUUGUAAGGCACAAGAACAUUAAGAGCUAUACACAAGGUGUAAUGUGAUUAACUACUUUUAUUUGCCAAGGAAGGCUUCCUAGAAGAGAUGAGAGCCAAGCUAGAACUACAGGAUGACUAGGAGCCUGAAGGUGAUCCUGGAAACAGGAGACAUUUCAAGCACAGGGAACAGCAUGUGCCAUGGUGUUUAGGGAACUAUAAAGUUCAGUGUUGCUUUUUUCCUACCCCCCACAGGAUAAAGUGAGACAGGAAAAAUGCGGGUGAUUCCGGAAGAUUAAAACAACUCCAGGCAGCGUUUCACAUGACUAGAGGCUAUGGGCUGAUAAAACCCUGAAAAACAAAAUGUGGACCAAGCUGGCUAAGACUGACUGAACCCAACCUGGCACUGGAUUUGACCUACAUUUCACAAAUAGGACCUUACUAUACAUGCAUUAACAUACUAAAUCACACCCCCCCUCAGUGCCAUGACAGUUCCAAGAACACCCAUAUUUAGUAUAAAAAUGGGUGGCAUCACAGUUCCUAGAAAUAUCUACCUUUUUCCAGGAAUUUUCAUGAAUACUCAACCCCUUGGUUAAAGAAACCCAUAAAGGUAACAGCCCCAAACCUCCUUGUGGGUGACUCUCUCUUGAGUACCCCGGAACUCCUUUUAUUGAGGGUGUUCUUUUCCCUUUGCAAUUAAUCUCUGUAACCUUCACUAUUUUCUGACUUGUCCUUGAAUUAAUUCUUGUGAUGGUGUCAAGAGCCUGCACAGUGGCUGCAGUCAAGGUUCCACCGGCAUUUUCGGACCCCCCACCCCACCAAGCCCACUGGUAUCGAAAGUACCAAUUUGUUAGCCUCAAAGCAACUUUUCACAACUUGGCUUUCUUUUCAUCCUCAUUUCUUACCACUCUGGAGGCCUAGAAGUUUGCUGGCAUACAAAAUUUCACAGAUAGGGAAGCCUUUGGUCCAGAGAAGCUCCAAAGAGUGGCCCCUUGGAAUUGUGGAUGUCAAGGAUUUCUGAAGUGGGAGCACUGGCUGAGCUAAUUAAAGAGUGGUGGCAAGAGUUUGGGGUAGAGAGCAAAACUGUGACCCAGGUAUGUUAUACCUCAUAAAUAUUGGAAAGCAAGGACCAUGUAAAUAUAACUUCGUUUACCAAGUAAGUAUUGUGUUCCAAGCACUGUCCUCAGAUCUUUUAAAUAGAUAAAUGAUAUUAUACCUUUGCUUAAAGUCAUUGCCUCUCAUUACAUUUAAAUGGAAGUAAUGAAACUGUGCCCCAAAGACUUAAACCAGUAACUAACAGAAAUUCUUGAGUUUGCAGGAUGGCAGAUGAGAAACAACUUGCUGAAACACUGAAAAUCCCUCCACUUGUAAGAUAAUGAAGCCAGCUGAUAUCAGUUGGAACCAAUAUGACCAAUUGGAGUCUGCACAGAAUGAGCCUGCUGACGUCACUGUCUGAAUUUCCACUGCAUGUUUCAUGUGAACCCACCCUUGAAUAUGCACAUGGGACCCAUGAGUUAGCAUGAAGAGCACUUCUCCUUUCUGCUACCAUAUGAAGAGGAAUGUGUUUGCUUCCCCUUCCACCAUGAUUGCUCAGAGGUGAAAGGGAUUUUCCUUAUCGCAGAUGAGACUUUGGACUUGGACUUUUGGGUUAAUAGUAGAAUGAGUUAAGAUUUGGGGGGACUGUUGGGAAGGCAUGAUUGUGUUUUGAAUGUGACUACAUGAGAUUUUGGAGAUGCAAAGGGUAGAAUGAUAUGGUUUGGCUGUGUCUCCACCCAAAUGUCAUCUUGAAUUGUAGUUCCCAUAAUCUCCACAUGUUG